GGGGAUUUAGCUCAGCGGUAGAGCGUUUGCCUAGCAAGCACAAGGCCCUGGGUUCGGUCCCCAGCUCUG
rnacentral:tRNA from 1 species